GGCGCCAUAGCUCAGAUGGCAGAGCAAGGGACUCAUAAGCCCUGGGUCACUGGUUCAAGUCCAGUUGGCGCCA
rnacentral:tRNA from 1 species